GUCUAUGGCCAUACCACCCUGAACACGCCCAAUCUUGUCUGAUUUUGGAAGCUAAGCAGGAUCAGGCCUGGUUAGUACUUGGAUGGGAGGAAAUCAGCAACACAGUUGCUAAAGAGC
ensembl:rRNA 5S_rRNA 5S ribosomal RNA